rnacentral:rRNA from 1 species
AGAAUCAACGCUGGCGGCGUGCCUAACACAUGCAAGUCGCACGAGAAAGUGGAGCAAUCCACGAGUAAAGUGGCGCACGGGUGAGUAACACGUGAAUAAUCUACCUCCGAGUGGGGAAUAACUGAGAGAAAUCUUAGCUAAUACCGCAUAACACCUACGGGUCAAAGGAGCAAUUCGCUUCAGGAGGGGGUCGCGGCAGAUUAGAUAGUUGGCGGGGUAAUGGCCCACCAAGUCAGUGAUCUGUA